rnacentral:rRNA from 1 species
UACAGAGGUCCCAAGCGUUGUUCGGAUUCAUUGGGCGUAAAGGGUGCGUAGGCUGCGUCGUAAGUCGGAUGUGAAAUCUUGGGGCUCAACCCUGAAACUGCAUUCGAUACUGCGAUGCUAGAGGACUCUAGAGGAAACUGGAAUUCACGGUGUAGCAGUGAAAUGCGUAGAUAUCGUGAGGAAGACCAGUGGCGAAGGCGGGUUUCUGGAGAGUUCCUGACGCUGAGGCACGAAGGCCAGGGGAGCAAACGGG